rnacentral:rRNA from 1 species
CGACGGAGAUAUCCGCUGAUGAAUACUUCGGUAAUGAUUCUUGGAUAUCUUAGUGGCGGACGGGUGAGUAACGCGUGAGCAACCUGCCUUUCAGAGGGGGAUAACGUUUGGAAACGAACGCUAAUACCGCAUGAUAUUAUUGAGCUGCAUGGCUUGAUAAUCAAAGGAGCAAUCCGCUGAAAGAUGGGCUCGCGUCCGAUUAGGUAGUUGGCGGGCAACGGCCCACCAAGCCGACGAUCGGUAGCCGGACUGAGAGGUUGAACGGCCACAUUGGGACUGAGACACGGCCCAGACUCCUACGGGAGGCAGCAGUGAGGGAUAUUGGUCAAUGGGGGAAACCCUGAACCAGCAACGCUGCGUGAGGGAAGACGGUUUUCGGAUUGUAAACCUCUGUCCUCUGUGAAGAUGAUGACGGUAGCAGAGGAGGAAGCUCCGGCUAACUACGUGCCAGCAGCCGCGGUAAUACGUAGGGAGCAAGCGUUGUCCGGAUUUACUGGGUGUAAAGGGUGCGUAGGCGGCUUUGCAAGUCAGAAGUGAAAUCCAUGGGCUUAACCCAUGAACUGCUUUUGAAACUGCAGAGCUUGAGUGGAGUAGAGGUAGGCGGAAUUCCCGGUGUAGCGGUGAAAUGCGUAGAGAUCGGGAGGAACACCAGUGGCGAAGGCGGCCUGCUGGGCUCUAACUGACGCUGAGGCACGAAAGCGUGGGUAGCAAACAGGAUUAGAUACCCUGGUAGUCCACGCUGUAAACGAUGAUUACUAGGUGUGGGUGGACUGACCCCAUC